UCGAUAGAGCAGCGAUAAAGCGGGGAAAGCAGCGAAACCGACAUACCCAGUUGAGUUCCUCGGCGACGAAGUCUCGUCCGAAGGCAUAACGAUUCUUUAGGAUGCCCCCGAGGAUUGACGCUUCGGAAAACUGGGCCUCAAAACCGAUAUCUACGGGAAAUGAUGAAAAACAUAGAAACACUCAAAUUACGCGUUAUAUUAAUUAUUACAUAUUAUCUUUAUUAUUAUAUGUUACUUUACGUUAUCUUUGAUCGUUGACAUAUCUUUUUAAAAGUUCGAAAAUUUUUUAAAGCGAAAGAGAUUCCCUGACUUCUUUCCAACUGUCUUAAACUAACGAGAAACACAGGAAGACAGAGUCAGUUACACCGAUAGUUUGAUGAAUCGACAACGAUCCAAAGCAGUAGAUGUGAUGCUUUGGAGAAUCGUUGUCGAUUCAUCAAACUAUCGGUGUAACUGACCCUGUCUUCCUGUGUUUCUCGUUAGUUUAAGACAGUUGGAAAGAAGUCAGGGAAUCUCUUUCGCUUUAAAAAAUUUUCAAAAAUAAGCCUAAUUGAACAUUUUCAAUAUCACUAUGCACUAAAUGAAAUAGAACGGCAUCAAUGGAAUUUCCCGUACUCUAUGAAACGACAUUUCACGGCAAAGUUCGAAUAUGUCGGUUGGAGGAUCAGUAAACUCCGGUAUGUCGGUUUAUUCAACAACCUAACCUUAACUUUUCUCGCGCAGUUCAACGACCGACGACAGAGUUUCGCACAAGAUCGGAAGUAUUUUCAAAAGAACUCUCAAAACUCACGCUACGAAAAUAAUAUAGUCGAAUAAAUUACUUACCGCCGAUUUGUUACUCUAAUUUUCGCAAGAAGAUAGCUCGACGAAAAUUUCGGCGAACGAGAAAAAGGAUCGUACGACGCCAACGAAACGGCCGAAUCCGCUUUUGCAAGCAGGAACUGGAAUCGGAAUACUUCGGUUCCGAUUUCUGCGCACAACGGACAAAAUUGAUGUCCCGUCCGACAAAGUUCGGUACUCGACAGUAGGAGACGCGAAUAUACACGCCGCAAUUAUCGCACCUUUAUCAGUUAUGACGGUUUUCCUCCACUGUUCGCCGUUGGAGGCCGGUUUUCCCGCUCGACCGCACGAACACGUCGCAGAUUCAAACGCCACAAUGAACGUGUCGGAGCAGGUCGGAGUACCCGUCGUGCCUUUCGUCUCGAGGGGAGCGGACGUCGAGGGCUCGGCGAGAUAUCGAUCACCGAUCGAUAUCGCGCUCACGGCGCGAAUUAUAAAUCCGACGAGUGGCCCGCCUUCGACGCUAAAAAAAGCGUUCGGCUUCGAUCGCGGCCUGCGUGGCCGCCGGUUUGUUUUCGCAAGUUCGCCAGACCGCGCCGAUCGUGUGAAUCGCGCGAGUUAUACGUAGAGCCACGCACGAGCGAGCACCCGUGUGCUCGAGAGAGGAUUUAUUUUCGUUAUCGCGCUAUCGUGCCAAAAAAACGGACGCGCCGACAGCCACGUUGACGACACGACGAGACUGCUGACGCGAAGCUCGAAUUUUCCCUUCGGUCUUCGCGGUGCGGAAUGCGAGUUUCUUUCUGGGUGAAUUUUCGAAAUUUUCGAAAAGUUCCUCGAGGUGUCCAACGGAACCUCCGAGAGCGAGCGAAGAGUUUCCCGCACGCGAUCGAGUGUGUCGACACGUUCACAACUUAAACAUUGAAAUUCGCUCAUUGUAGCGCGCGCGCGGGCUACAGUAUUUUCAGUAGCUGUAUACUUAAACUGCUAUUCACAGGACGCGAUAAAUAGGCAAAUGGAGUACUUUACAUAAUUAAUGUGUCAUACAUGCGCGACACUUGUCUCUGGUGGGAGAUCGGUGCGUCAUAUAUGCGACGUCUCGUUACAUACGCAUAACAAACGCGUUAAUGAUACGAAGGCGCAUGAAGCACUCGCGUUUAUAAAGUCCCGUUUACGAUAGCUACUUUAAGUCCUGAGUCUUAAGAAAUCGUAGCCAAUCGUAGUCGAAUGUGAGGAGAAUGAUUGACUAUGAUCGAUUAAUUUCUUAUCUUACGCCUUAAAUUCUCAGUAUAGAUCUCACUUAAGGGGAUGUCAAAGUCGAAGACGAACUUCACAAGCGUCGAUAGAGGCAAGAUUCCAAGUGUUAUGUUACGUAACACUCACAUGAUCACGCUACUCUUUUUGUAUUUCUCAUACAUACAGGUCUUACGUAAAUGCCACUGAGUUUCACUGAGGUGUAAAAAUGUUUCUUGAAAUUCUCCUGAUUGGAGCAUCGGCACGUUUGCACGAAAAAGCUGCGGAAUUUUUGUACCAGACGUACUCCUUGUGCUGUCUGACUGAAUUAAAGCGCGCCGGACAACAUUCGAGCAUUUGAUACACGAAAGGACAGCAGGUGUACGAUAGUUGGAUUUUUACGCAGCGACAUACCGGUUAU